rnacentral:rRNA from 1 species
CUUCUUUUUUAAUGUAGAUUCACCGUCCGCGUCUGGACCGAGGUGGUCAACUGACUUGGCAUUCAAGACCACUCACCGCUGACUUGGCGCCACGAAGACACGGUUCAAGAUUGGUGGCUGAAGACGAUCAACACGGGAGGGCAUAUCAAGAAAGCGGUUGGCUCUGCUCUGAUGCUUGUCAUGUGAGAAAUUUGGAAGGAGCGAAACGCGAGAGUUUUUCGCAACACGGCUUCACCGACCACUGUUAUCACUGCCCAGAUCAAAGAGGAGGCCUGUCUUUGGGCGUUGGUGGGAGCCAAACACAUGAGUGCAAUUAUGUCGCGAGAGUAG